rnacentral:tRNA from 1 species
GGUAGUAACUCAGUGGUAGAGCGUUGGCUUCCCAAGCCAAAAGUCGCGGGUUCGAAUCCCGUCUAC